AUGGCAGGCUUGGCGUUGGUGGUUCGGCUCGGCUCGGUGUCUGGGGUAUGAGGGUCCUGUGAACCCGAGGCUUCGUCUCAGACUCGUCGGAGAGCAUAGAUAUGGGCGCUGGCUCCAACCGAGAAGCUGGUGGAGCCUUCAGAAAAGGAGAAAAGGCUGAAGAGGGUCGGUACUUCCGAGAGAAGACUAGAGUACAGCUGGCUGCCCUGAAAAAAACACCAUGAAGAUGAGAUUGACCACCAUUCAAAGGCGAUAGAGCGUCUGCAGAAGCCGAUUGAACGCCGC
rnacentral:lncRNA from 1 species